UCUGAAUCCUGGGCCUGCCCCUUACUGACUGUGUGAUCUUGGGCAGGUUAUUGAACUGAUCUGUGCUUCGGUUCCCUUAAAAUGAGACAGAUAGUACCUCAUUUACAGGAUUGUGGUGGAAUGGGUGACACAGGGUAGGUAUUCUGAGUAAGCUUAGAAUUGUAUAGUUUGAGUAAUUUCAGCGGACUCUGGGCUGGAGGAGUGGUAUUUGACCCUGGGGUGGUUUAGGGCAGGGAGAAAAUUGGCUUGCUUUUUGAGAGUUUGAUAAAGGAGAGGGUUGGGGGUGUGGGCUGUGGGUGGGUUGGUUCGUAUAUCAAAGACAGGCUCACAGGGGAGUCUUUCGCCAUGCCUAGGAAUUAGCUAGUCCUGUGAGGGCAGUCUCUCAAGGAUCAAGGCCCCAGAUGCCAGAGCAUCAAGAAUAUGGAAAAUCAGAGAACAUGAUCAAUAUACCAGCUCAUCCCUGGAUGAAGCUCCCUGCCUUUCCUCAUACAGACAAAAAAGUGCAAUCCUCAAUUUUCCGGCCUACCUUGUAGCUGGGAGCUAUAAAAUGAAGUUCAUCAGGCAUGAGCGGUCUGCUGGUACUGCUUCUUCCCGCUUCCCCUUCUUCUUGCUUUGGGAUGGGAUGCGAUGUUUGCUGCUGUAACAGCCAUUUGCAGCCAUAAGGAAAAGGCCAAAUGAAUUGCAGUGGUGUCCAUUGAACCAAUUCUGUAUUUUUCUGGACUUCUUGUUUUGUGAGAAAAAUAAACUGCUAUUUAAACCA
rnacentral:lncRNA from 1 species